rnacentral:rRNA from 1 species
ACCUACGGGGGGCAGCAGUGGGGAAUAUUGGGCAAUGGGCGCAAGCCUGACCCAGCAACGCCGCGUGAAGGAAGAAGGCUUUCGGGUUGUAAACUUCUUUUCUCAGGGACGAAGCAAGUGACGGUACCUGAGGAAUAAGCCACGGCUAAAUACGUGCCAGCAGCCGCGGUAAUACGUAUGGAGCAAGCGUUAUCCGGAUUUACUGGGUGUAACGGGAGCGCAGGCGGCUUUGCAAGUCUGAUGU